UAAAACCUUCGCCUCUCUCAUCAGAACCAGACAAAUCCUAGACAAAUCUGCCAAGGCUUUCGUCCUUCUCGUCUUCAAACCUAUCCGCCAUCGCGAACUAUUUUUCUUACUCCGACGAAGGACAACCAUUUCAGCUAAUAUAAGGGAAUCUCAGAUGUAGAUUAUCGGUAUUUUUCUGUGUUCGUGGUUGUUCGCUUUCGCUAUUGUUUCGCCGGAAAAUUAUUUUGCCGCUUCUUCUGCUUUCUUUCUCUGAUUUGAUAGACAUGAGUCAAGAAAGACCUUCAAAGCCCAAAAGAAAAACAAGUGCGACAUACACAAAACCUGGAACAAUGGCAUCUUUGGCAAACCAAAUAAGGACUUCGUUUAGCCAAAAAUAUGUUGUUCCCACUAGACAAUCAAACAAAGAAUGGCCGAAUAUUAUUGAAGAGAAUUUGCCACAAUAUCUAGGAAAAGUAGCCCACGUACAAACUAGAUCAAUCACUUCUGCAAAAAUAUGUUUUUCCUACUAGACAAUCAAACAAAGAGCGUUUGAAUAUCAUCGAAGAGAAUCUGCUAGUGCCACAAUAUUUAGGAGUAGCAGACCAUGCACAAACAAGAUCAACCACUCCUGCAACACAAGUAAUAGAGGAACAAGUUCAGUUGGAUUCUACAACUUCUAUCGAAGAUGAACAAUGUGAAGAACAAGUUGAAGGCCCUUCUAAUCAAACAAAAAAAAAAGAGGUAAAACAAAGAUGAAAAGUGUACAUGGACGACAUGAGCGUAAAUUGAUUUUACUUAACAACUUCAAUCAACUCGUCGGUCCUAGUGAUGGCGUUGUGAUAGAGCUUGGAAGCUUCCUCGGCACAUUGGGAAGGAAUGCGACUCUAUGUCCUCUUGAUAUUUUGGAUUGGAGGAAGAUGGACACAAAAGAGGAUAUAUGAGAAUAUACCAAGGAUAAAUAUGAUAUUCCCGAGGCUGGAAAAAAAUACAUUUUGGAAUCUAUUCAAGCUGCCUGGAGAAAGCACAAGAGUAGAUUGAAAAAAGGUCACUUUGACCCCUAUCCAAAUGAUGAAACUCGAAUGCAACAUAUCCCUGAAGAUGUUCUAGUUUCUCAGUCUAAGGAACUCCUUACGUAUUGGAACUCUGAGAAACUUCAGAGAAUGUCUAAAACUAACAUUGAGAAUCGGAAAAAGUUGAAGAAACUUCACUUUGCUUUAGUUCGCUAAGUUGGAAAACGACAAGGAAGCUUCGGAUCCUUUAUCAGCAAAGGAAGUCUUUGUAGCUACAAGAAAAAGAAAAGCCGGUCGAUUAUACAUGUCCUCGGAUGAAGAUACAACCAAUAAAAUUGCUGAAAUGGAGGAAAUUGAAGCACAACAAAACGAAAAUGGCAAUGAGUUCAUAGAGGCAUUUGCAUCUGUCAUGGGACCUGAACAUCCUGGACGUCUGAGAUUGUAUGGACGGGGGGUUACAAGAACUUCUUUGAGAGGGAAGUAGGAUGUUUCGAACCCUCUUCAAAUACUUCAAAUUCUAUACAAAAAUUGGAGGAGAAGAUACAAAGAAUGGAGGAAAAAAUUGGGAACAAAAGGCAACUAUCCGUCAGUUGUUGCAGAUGUCCUUGCACAACUUCAGCGUUCAGGAAUUGAUAUUGAUGCUAACAUUAUUCUGGCGGCAUUGGGUGAUAAUUCAUUGGGAGAAGCAUCAUCUGCUCAGCAAACAACAUUGCAACCAAUCUGUCAUCCAUCUACUGGUACCAACAAAGAAGGCCAACUCAUUCCAGUUAUUAACUCAUUGAAAAUUUAAUAAUUUUUGUGAGAUCUACUGUCUUAGUUUGGUACUUCAUGUGCGCAUUCUGUAUAUUCUUGGCCAUGCCAAGUGCCAUGCGGUACUCUAUUGAAAUUAUGCCAAUAUAAUGACCAAGUGCAUCUCUUAUGAAUCCUUUCUGAAGGACUUCGAAUAAUAUCUCUAUAUGCAUGAUAUUUAGUGUUUGAACAUAUUUAGACACAUGUCACCUAGAUGCCAUGCCGUUCAGGGGCGGAUGUACGUACAUCGAAGCGGUGUCACGUGAGACCGCUUCGUCGGAAAUUUUGAUUAAAACUGUUGCUGUAAAUGACAUGCGAACAGUAAAUUUGUACAUAUUAUCUAAAGUGACACCACUUGAUAAACAUUUCGUUGUUAGUUCAAUGGUUAAGCCUUUGGUUAAGGUAGUAAAGGUCCAGGGUUCGAUUCCUGCAUACGUGACCUUUUGUUUAAUUUUAUUUAACACCUUUUAAACGCUCAAUUCAGAAUAAUUACUUCAUGAAUUUGCAAUAUUUAUUUGUGCUAGCUUGCUGUACUCAGCCUCUCAAUCUCGUCAUCUCCGUGAACUCCUUUGGGUUAUCGGCCAUCAAUUAAUUAUGACACUGCUUACUGAAAGUUCUGCGUACGCCCCUGAUCACUUAGAAAUUAUGUUGUAAGGGAUAAUAAGCAUAUUCUUAUGUAUCUGUAUUCAUUAUGCUUUACUUUCUGUAUAUAACGUUAUAGUAGCAGCCAACCAGAAUUGUAGAAGUUUGAAGCCACCUAUUCCCAUAUACUUUUUCCAAUACCAUCGGCAUAGCGAUCUCUGGUUUUGAACAUUCUCAUUCUGACUCGCUCCUUUUUCGUACUCAAUGAAUGAGGGAAUCCUCAACUCUAGUGUACCUUCUUUCUCGCACUUACUCCAAACUAUAUCCAUUCUGUUUUUUUCCGCAUCAUUCUUACAAUUUGAAACAAAAACCAAUCUUGGGAGAUUUUUGGGUUGAACACAACUUCUUCUUCAAAUUAAAAAUACAAACUUUGAACUUUUUUUUAGACUUACCAUAGUAGUAGUGUUAAUAUAAUUGGAAGAUCAGAUGGGGAUAGAGAGUAAAUACCAAAUGAAGGUGGUGGAAGGAGAUAAUGGCUACGUACUUGAAGAUGUCCCUCACUUGACUGAUUACAUCCCUCAUCUUCCUGUGCAGCGAUUGCGGAAGAAAGCAGUGACGAAGACCUUACUUGAGUGUUGUUGAUCGUUGUUAAACUUUCUAUCAUCAUGUUCAAAGAUAUUUUAGUUUAGAACUUUUUGUAUGCAAACUCAUCUAUU